AAUGCAUGGGUAGGCAAACUAAGGCCCAGGGGCCGGAUCCGGCCCAUUCGUCUUCUAAUUCCAGCCCGUGGACGGUCUGGGAAUCAGUGUAUUUUUACAUGAGUAAAAACUGACAAACUGGAACGUGUCCAGAGAAGGGCAACCAAAAUGGUCAAAGGCCUGGAAACGAUGCCUUAUGAGGAACGGCUAAGGGAGCUGGGCAUGUUCAGCCUGGAGAAGAGGAGGUUAAGGGGUGAUAUGAUAGCCAUGUUCAAAUAUAUAAAAGGAUGUCACAUAGAGGAGGGAGAAAGGUUGUUUUCUGUCCCAGAGAAACGGACACGGAGGAAUGGAUCCAAACUACAAGAAAGAAGAUUCCACCUAAACAUUAGGAAGAACUUCCUGACAGUAAGAGCUGUUUGACAGUGGAAUUUGCUGCCAAGGAGUGUGGUGGAGUCUCCUUCUUUGGAGGUCUUUAAGCAGAGGCUUGACAACCAUAUGUCAGGAGUGCUCUGAUGGUGUUUCCUGCUUGGCAGGGGGUUGGACUCGAUGGCCCUUGUGGUCUCUUCCAACUCUAUGAUUCUAUGAUUCUAUGAGUAGAAUGUGUGCUUUUAUUUAAAAUGCAUCUCUAGGUUAUUUGUGGGGUAUAGGAAUUCGUUCAAUUUUUCUCUCCAAAAUAUAGUCCAGCCCCCCACAAGAUCUGAGGGACAGUGGACCAGCCCCCUGCUGAAAAAGUUUGCUGACCCCUGAUCUAAUGAAUGUCCCUGGCCACAUACAAAUGAAUACUUCAGUGAACACAUAAACUCCCCACGAUACACAUUUUUCACUGGACUGACUGUGGCAUGUUUGUUCCAUGGCAUGUAAUGUGGUAUUGAUUGUAUGAUUCUGGACUUGGCUUGAUUUCCCAGUUUGACCCAUAAUGAGUGAAUUUCUAGAUUACACAUCCUUUGUAUCCCAUCCAUCUAGUCCAUCAACCUGGUGACCUUCUAUCCGAGGCUCUUAAGUCUUUUCCAUGUUCCUUCUGCAGGUCUUCUUCAUGUUUAUACCUGCACUUUACUUUAUCUUCUGCUGAUCUUAUUCUUAAUUUCUUUCCUUUCUCACUGAGGGGUAGAUCUCGGGGAGACUCCAACUUGACAAUAUCUUUAUCCCUUGUCAACAAGUCAGCCCAUUCUCCAUAGUCGACACUGGAAUCCAAAAGAUAUUUGAGGGCAUGUUUCAAAGUCCCUCCAAGGUUAAGGGCCCCCACAACUCCAAGCUCCCCCUGGCCCAAAGCCAGAUCCGAAAAGUCAAAACAUCCCUGCAUAGGGGGAUCUAUUCAACUUCCUAUCUCCAGACCAAAUAGUACUCCAUCUCUUCAAAUCUGACUUUCUCCAGGUUCAGUCGUCAAAAACAGCAACUUAUGUUCCUGCAAGGCCGCAGCUUUCUCCAUUUCUGGUACUUGAGGUUCAGCAACUACCUCCUCCUUUAUCUUCUUCACCACUUGCUCUGUCAAAGCACAUUCCUGGGUUAAUUCCUGAGUGGUUUCUAUAUAAGGAUUCACUGUUUGUCCAAAAUUUCCAACUGCAACAGUCAUCAAAUCCAUCUUCUCAUGUAGCUGUUCCAGUAAAGCACUUGUCUUGCAAAAGGCAAGCACUAAAGCUUCUUCUGGGCACAUUCUUGUUCAAGGUCAAUGUCUGGUCUCACGAUCUUUAAUCUCUACAGCUGCAGAAUUCCCAGAUCGACUCUAACAACAGUUUCACAAGCUCCCUCUAGAGGAAACAAUUUCUAUUUGUAUCCAUCUUUUUAAAAGCAGAUCUAGCAACAAAGUUCCUUUCGUUUUCCAGUUAUUUUGUUCCUUUUAAGUACAAAAGGGAACAUUGGAAUCAAUAUGUUUCUCUUUUUUAACUAUCUGUCAAAAACGUUUUCUCCACAGUCAAUGAACUUCCCCAAAGUGUCUGUCUCUGACACCCCGCUCCCAGGAUCAAGACGGUGGAAAUUUAUCUUUCUUUACUCUCUCUUCUGCAGGUUUAAACAGUCUAAAAAGAUUCCCCCCUCUUCUCCUGCUUCCAAGGGGGGUUUAGUAAAUUUUAGCUGGUGGAAAUUUAGUCCUUUACAAACGACUUUCUAGACUCUAGUUUGCAACGUCUUUGCUUCAAUCUAUUUACAAAAGUGGAAGGCGGACUUCUGGGUUAGCGCCUCCGGCAAUGGCGGAUUUCCUCUGAUCGGGAGGAAACCCGAGACCAGGAAGAAGAGAUGAUGGAUGAAGAUUGGAAGAAAGUUUUAAAAAUUUAUUUAGAAAAUCAUUGUAAAAUUAAUGAGUAUUGGAAAAAUGUUGGAAUGAAACUAUUUGGCUUUAAUAGAAAUGUUAAAAAGAAUUAUGUAUAAAUAUGUUUUGUUAAAAAGAAUUAGGUAUAAAUAAGAUUUAAGUUUUAAGCUUUAGGGCUUUUUAUGGUAAGAUAAGGUUAAAAUAGAUUAAGGUAAUUUAAUGACAGAAUAUUGUGAAAGAUGGAAAGGAUUUGCUGAGAUAAUUAAUAACUAGAAUACAAAAAAGGGAGGUGUGAGGAGGUCGAUGAAACAAGUUAAUGAAAGAUAAAGAUUUGGGAAUAUUGGAUUUGUUUUUAAUUUUUUUGUUUAUUUUUGUUUUUUGGAUUCUGAUGUAUUGUGUGUUUUGUUUUUUGUCUUUGACUUUUGUUUUUAUUGACUUGCAUUGUUUAAUUUCUCUUUUUGUCUACCUUUUUUCCUUUUUUUCUUCUUGUUUUUUUUUCCUUUUUAUAUCUGUAACUUUAAAUUCUCAAUAAAUAUCAUUUUUUUAAAAAAGAAUUUCUAGAUUACACAUAAUGACAGCCAAAUAUUGUUUAUUUAUUAAAUUUGUGUAACACCCUUCCUUCAAAGAGCACAGUACAGUUCAUACCAUAAAAAUACAAAAUGAGAACACAAAAUACAUAAUAAAACAAACACAAACCAAUAACCGCCCCCCCUCCCACGAACACAUUUAAAAGUACAUGGGAUGCUAAUCAGCCUGAUAAAAGAUGAACAUUUUCACCUGGCAGUAGGCAAGCCUCCCUGGGGAGAGAAUUCUACUACGAAGGAGCCACCACAGAAAAGGCUCAUUCUUGUGUUACCAUCCUCCGAACCUCUCAUGGAGGGCUUCAGAUUAUGAUUGCAGGGUCUUGGUUAGUUCAUAUGGAGGGAGGUGGUCCUCCCAUAUGUAAACGUUAAAAAGCACAGAUGUUUAAUAACAUUGAACUCUGAAGACCCUCACGUUGAAGGCUCCACAGGGCCAAAGAACCUUCCCCAAGCAUCAUCUUCUGGAAACAACCAGUCAAGUAGGACCAGAACCACUGUGAAGCGGUGCCACCCACACCUAACUUGGACAGUUGCUCCAGAAGGAUGCCACGGAGGUGUUAGAAUUCCUGAUCUAUGAUUGCAGUCAUAGGAUUGUUGUCUUUCACAUGACGGUAUAUUUUGACUCCACAGAGUGGGAUGUGACGGAAACAGGAUGUUUGUGUUACUGUGUUCCGUGAAGUGGGACUAUUGUCCUUUGUUCUUUUUCUCUUUGCUGUCUGAUGCUAGAGAGAGAGGGAGCCAUGUUGCAGUGCUCCGUGUGUGUUUAUAUGUAAAUAAAGUAGAUUAGCCAAAAUGCUGAGUUGCUGAGGUCUGUUACGCAAAGCUGCGAAGACUCUGCAGAUCUCUAAGUGUGCCGGUGUCAGCUGGCAUCAGUCACUGUGAUGUUCGGGCUGAAGAAAGCUUAUGAAGCUCCUGAACGAUCAACCAGGAGGGAGGGAACAUGCCAGUUGGGCAUGUGUCUCUGCCAGAGUCCUACUCGAGUGAAGGCUGAACUCCUGACAGGAGGAUGGUAUCAAAAGCCACUGAGAGGUCGUGGAAAAUUAACAGGGAUGCAUUUCUGUUGUCUUCUCUCCCACCAGAGGUCAUCCUACAGGGCAACCAAAGCCAUUUCUGUGUAAAAACCGGGCCUAAACCCCAACUGAAAUGGAUCUAGGAGAAUGGUUUCCUCCAAGAGCGCCUGGAUCUUGGAGGACAACAGCAAACCACCUCUCUCUACUGACAAUAUUCAUCAACCUUCAGGCCCUUGAUUUCUAACAAUGUCUGGCCAACCUUGCAUCCAAGGGUUUCUCUUGCUUAACCUGCACAAGUAUUUCCAUCGUACAGUCCAUGGUGCCAAUAACAAGACUCUAUAAACAUUUAUUUAAGGACGCGGGUGGCGCUGUGGGUAAAACCUCAGCGCCUAGGACUUGCCGAUCGCAUGGUCGGCGGUUCGAAUCCCCGCGGCGGGGUGUGCUCCCGUCGUUCGGUCCCAGCACCUGCCAACCUAGCAGUUCGAAAGUACCCCGGGUGCAAGUAGAUAAAUAGGGACCGCUUACCAGCGGGAAGGUAAAUGGCGUUCCGUGUGCUGCGCUGGCUCGCCAGAUGCAGCUUGUCACGCUGGCCACGUGACCCGGAAGUGUCUGUGGACAGCGCUGGCUCCCAGCCUAUAGAGUGAGAUGAACACACAACCCUAGAGUCUGGCAAGACUGGCCCGUACGGGCAGGGGUACCUUUACCUUUUUAUAAACAUUUAUGCUACUGCCUGUUUCUGUCCUCCCACUGGUGGUUUUCACCAGUUCCCCAUUGCAGCUGCCAACACCAUCUCACAUACUGUUUGUGGGGCUCCCCAACCCACCAGAACAGUUUUUUUGCGGGGGGGGGGGGUGUUGCUGCAGUGGGAAGGAAAAAUGGCCCUGCUGGAUCAAAGUCACUGAGUUCAGCUAUGCUAGUACAUGUGCAAAAGAAAUUAUUUUAAUUGAAUUAGUGUUUAGUACAGUGGUACCUUGGUUUCCAAACUUAAUCCAUUCCGGAAGUCUGUUCCAAAACCAAAGCAUUCUAAAACCAAGGCGUGCUUUCCCAUAGAAAGUAAUGCAGAAUGGAUUAAUCCGUUCCAGACUUUUAAAAACAACCCCUAAAACAGCAAUUUAACAUGAAUUUUACUAUCUAACGAGACCAUUGAUCCAUAAAAUGAAAGCAAUAAUCAAUGUACUGUACUAUAAAAUAAGUAAGACAGAACUGUAGAUGAUAAAAUAAUAAUAAUAAUAAUAAUAAUAAUCUUAUGUGCACUGAUGAUAGUCAUUGUUUGGGGGGGGGUAUCCAUUUCUUCAGUCACACAAUCAAUCAAUCAAUCAGUAGCUGAACUGGGUUCCACACAGUCACAAAAACAAAUCACAAAAACGAAGUCACAAGCCACAGUCAUAAAAACGGAGUCAUAAGCAACAGUCACAAGUCAGUCCCAU